rnacentral:lncRNA from 1 species
GUAUUUUGAUUUCCUGUCUCUUUGUGUGCACAUCAACCGAGACUCUCCAACAUAAGGAUCCUGAAAUUUAGCAGGAUUAAGUUUCAGUAACUUUCCUACUUCUUUUCCCUUUCUCUUUGCAAAGGGAGGGAGUGUAGGAUCAGGAUUUCAUGGAUGGGACGGGAAUUCCAGGGACAUGAGUAUAGUCCUUACUGACUCUACUGUGAUCUUAGUGUGUUCUGGAGCUCAGAAAUCCCCCAGGCAAGACUUUCAAGUUGUUUCCUUCCGUCACGGAGCAGAGAAGCGCUGCUGAGGCCUGCCGAGCGUACAGCUCGUUUGAAGGAGGAGACCAUUAUCUGAAAUCUGUUGCUUUAGAGGUUCUGCUGCUAAUUCCUCUGGAAGCCAUCCCUCCAUCUGAAGUCCCCUC